AACGUCUGUUACGUCACACUACAGGGCGGGGCGUGUGGGAGCAAGGAGCCUCCUCCUUCCCGCCCGCUGCCUCACACCCUCGCCGGCCGCCCUCCGCUCACACGCAUUCACGCACACAGCAUGUCUGACGAACAGCCCGCCGCCCCACUCGAGGCCGAGGCCCCCGCAUGCCCGGAGACCAACACGGCCCUGCAGCACUGCGUGACAGAGAACGGGGAAACGAACUGCGCGGCGUUGCUGGAGGCCCACCAGGAGUGUCUCCGGAAGCUGGGUGUGCAGGUUUGACAGGUGGUGGCUGAGCCGCCUCCAGGAUGCCGGUCAGACCAUCGCGGCCCACCACGCUCUGCCAUGCCCUCACCGGUGACAGCGGCGGUGGCGGUACCAGAGGCGGACCUAGGGGGCGUCGGUGCCCACCGCCUGCUGCGUCUGUACAGUUACAUUAACAUUGGACAUAUGAUGACUUCCUUUUAAUAAAUAAUUAUAAAACUUAAAAA